ensembl:lncRNA
AUCUGUUCCAAGCAAUGACACCAAGCAGCUUCCUUUUGGAAAGGUCAGUCACAGUGAGUGUUUGGGUAAAGCCUAAAGCUGUUUGUACAUGCUAAGAGACUGCAGCUUGGCUUGGGUACCCCUGGGUCUGCACCCAGCUCUCCACACCAGCUUGACUCCCUAUGAUAAUUAGCCAUCUGUCUAUAGCUCUUCAGAGAAAGGCUGUGGGAAAGGUCUCUUUCUCCCUCCAUUUCCCAGUUCAGAGAGACUUUUACAAGCAAAAACUGGGAGGAGACCAUUCUCAGCUUAGCCAACUGGAAGAAUUGGCAGAGAUAACAUCAGGAACAUGGGCAGAGUUGUACUGUACAUGUUAAACAGCUGUGUUUAUGUUUCCCCAGCUCACUCAAUGAAUGUCACUAGAGUCUCAACCAAAGGACUCCUGGGAAAGCUGCCUUCCACAUUUUUCUCUUCAGGUUUUAUUGAUUGAUUUAUGUUUAAAUGCAAGUUAGAAUGCUGAUGACUGCUGCUGAAUUGCUUAUCUGUGCUAAUGGAAGGAGAGCAGUGGGGAAUCUCACUUUAUUUUUAGCUCUCAACCUCCCACCCUCAAUGAGAUCUUCAUAUCAGUGGCCCUCAAGUGAUAUUGCUGGCCCAUUAGUUGGGUUCAGUUCUCCCUUCCAAUCUCCCUAGAAGAUAUUCAAGACUUUUUUUCUAGAACCUUUGACAUUAAGCACCCAGCCAGUGUCUUCUAGCUGAGGAUUCAAGCAGGAAGACGUGGAGGAAUUCCAAUCCAAUCCAACCCAAGAAGUAUAUAUGAAGUGCCUACUAUGUGAAAGGCAUUGUGCCAGGGACUGGGGGCACAAAGACAAAAGGAAAGACCAUCCUUGCCUUCGUGGAGUUUGCAAGAGCUAAGUUCGAAUCCUGCCUUAGACAUUUACCAUCUAUGUGACCUUCUCAGCCUCAGUCGCCUCUUCUAUAUAAUGGAGGUAAUAAUAGUACCUACCCCAUAGAAUUAGGAAUUAAUGAAGAUAAUAUAUAUGAGGCCCUUUGCAAACCUUAAAGUGCUAUCUAAAUGUUAGUUAAUGUUAAUGGAUUUUAUACUGAGCACUCUUUCCUACGACAGGCAAUGUGGUAGAAUAAUAACAGCUUUGCCCAGGUGACAGGGUUUAGGUGACUUGGAAGGAUGAGAUUAGUUGGGGCUGAGUGGUAUUGGCCAAGCAUGAAAUUAGCAAACACCUGGGCCUGAGGACUUUGACCAAUUGUUUCCACAUACAUUAUCUAACAUACUUUCUCAUCUUUCAGUCCCAAACUUGGAAAUCUGAAAACCCAAACCUCCCUUUUCCUAGAUCCUUCUUCCAUUUGGUCAUGAAUCUCUGGGCUUGAGUCUGCAACAGACUUCGGCUCUUGGCACAUUCCAGCUUUCAGGUCAGGCUUAACCAUUUCCCUUCCUUCCCCAUUCUCAGAUGGCAGAGGGGUCAGCCCACAUCAAGAACCCUUCCAAACCACAUGACCUACCUAAUCCUCCUUCAGAUCUUCCCAGAGACCAGGUUCUAGAGCUGAGGUUCUUAGAUUUCAGAGGGUCCAUGAACUUGUAUAGGAAAAAAAUGGCGUUUUUAUUUUUACUAACCUCUAGCUGAAAUUUAGCUUUUCCUUCAUUUAUGAAUGGAGGCAACAAAUCACAAUAGCAUUGGGCUAUACCAGGCUACCAAAGGGGUCUGUCAUAGGCUAAGAAACUCUGCUAUAAAGGACAGCAUAAUCUUGUUGCACUCCCAGCAAACCCCUCAUUGCUGAUUGCCAUGAAACUGAAUGCCCACACCAGCACUCUUCAGAGGCAGCUUUCUGCGACAGCUAGGCACCUAGCUACCUGUACAGUGAAUAAAAUGCUGAAUUUGCAAUCA